GAAAUGCGAUACCUGGUGUGAAUUGCAGAAUCCCGCGAACCAUCGAGUCUUUGAACGCAAGUUGCGCCCGAGGCCACCUGGCUGAGGGCACGCCUGCCUGGGCGUCACGCCAAAUACGCUCCAACACCCUCAUCGGGUAGUGGGAUGCGGCUUGUGGCCCCUCGUCACGCAAGAGGCGGUGGGCCGAAGAUGCGGCUGCCGGCGUAUCGUGCCGGACACAGCGCGUGGUGGGCGACCUCGCUUUACUUACCGCAGUGCAUCCGACACGUAGCCGACGUGAUGGCCUUGAUGGACCCUAUAAACGAAGCGCAUGACGCUUCGACCGCGACCCCAGGUCAGGCGGGACUACCCGCUGAGUUUAA
rnacentral:misc_RNA from 1 species